rnacentral:tRNA from 1 species
UGGGGCGUAGCCAAGCGGUAAGGCAACGGGUUCUGGUCCCGUGAUCGGGGGUUCGAAUCCCUCCGCCCCAGCCA